CUGAAAAGGAGCCACUCUGGGAGCCGCCUCGGAGGCAGCUCUUCUCACUACCUAGAAACCAGAAUGAAAGGCCUACAGCAGAGACUGAAGAGAGGAAGGCUCAUCACUUGGACCACCAAAGAAAGGUCUCAAGAUCCCUCUGCUAUGGUUAAAUCUAGUCAAGCAACCCAUCCCGGUGCUACUGUGGAAUUCCUGCAAGAGGCAGAAGGCGGUUCAGAGUCAUCAAAGCCAUUUUUACAAGGUAGACAUAGGACUGGGGGAUUAAAGGCUUUCAUGGCCUCACUUGCCAACCUGCCUCCCCCCCCCCCCCCCCCCCCCCCCCAAGGCUCUGGGUGAGUACCUAUUAACUUCUCUCCACUCUCUAAUCCCAAAUCCAUCUCCACUUUGCAUAUCGACAUGAAAGCCAAUGGCGGUGCUGGCUAAGGUCAGACAACUCCAAGGAAAAGGCCUCAGGGGCAGGCAGAUAGGGAGCCAGGUGCUGGGAAAGGCAAUAGGAGAAACCUCAAGCUGGGCUUUAGUCUACCAGCGACUCCCUCCCCUACUGCUGCCAGUGCCUGAGGCACCAGGGCAGUUUGUAUCUUCUCAAGGUGUAUCCCCAGGAACCUUCGGAGGAGGAAUUUGGCCACGGCCUCACAAAGUCUGACUCCUGGUCAGAAUGCCUGGAGUGUGUGAACUAGCUGGGAUUCACCUCAUCCACUGCCAGCACCUCACUUUCUAAAGGCGUCCGGGGUUACAGCUUCUCAGGCGGUGCACUGUGGCAUGCAAAGCCGGAAGACAUUUGGCCUUCAACUGACUCAUACAGACCGGAAGAGGUGUCACGAGCAGUUUCCAA
ensembl:antisense Uckl1os uridine-cytidine kinase 1-like 1, opposite strand